rnacentral:rRNA from 1 species
CUACGGGCCGCAGCAGUGGGGAAUAUUGCACAAUGAGCGCAGGCCUGAUGCAGCCAUGCCGCGUGUAUGAAGAAGGCCUUCGGGUUGUAAAGUACUUUCAGCGGGGAGGAAGGGAGUAAAGUUAAUACCUUUGCUCAUUGACGUUACCCGCAGAAGAAGCACCGGCUAACUCCGUGCCAGCAGCCGCGGUAAUACGGAGGGUGCAAGCGUUAAUCGGAAUUACUGGGCGUAAAGCGCACGCAGGCGGAUUGUUAAGUCAGAUGUGAAAUCCCCGGGCUCAACCUGGGAACUGCAUCUGAUACUGGCAAGCUUGAGUCUCGUAGAGGGGGGUAGAAUUCCAGGUGUAGCGGUGAAAUGCGUAGAGAUCUGGAGGAAUACCGGUGGCGAAGGCGGCCCCCUGGACGAAGACUGACGCUCAGGUGCGAAAGCGUGGGGAGCAAACAGGAUUAGAUACCCUCGUAGUC